GGAGAGGUGACCGAGAGGCCGAAGGUAACGGUUUGCUAAACCGUCGUACCUCAAAAGGGUACCGGGAGUUCGAAUCUCCCCCUCUCCG
rnacentral:tRNA from 1 species